GAUGAACGCUGGCGGCGUGCCUAAUACAUGCAAGUCGAGCGAACAGACGAGGAGCUUGCUCCUCUGACGUUAGCGGCGGACGGGUGAGUAACACGUGGAUAACCUACCUAUAAGACUGGGAUAACUUCGGGAAACCGGAGCUAACACCGGAUAAUAUAUUAAACCGCAUGGUUCAAUAGUGAAAGACGGUUUUGCUGUCACUUAGAGAUGGAUCCGCGCCGCACUAGCUAGUUGGUAAGGUAACGGCUUACCAAGGCGACGAUGCGUAGCCGACCUGAGAGGGUGAUCGGCCACACUGGAACUGAGACACGCUCCAGACUCCUACGGGAGGCAGCAGUAGGGAAUCUUCCGCAAUGGGCGAAAGCCUGACGGAGCAACGCCGCGUGAGUGAUGAAGGUCUUCGGAUCGUAAAACUCUGUUAUUAGGGAAGAACAAAUGUGUAAGUAACUAUGCACGUCUUGACGGUACCUGAUCAGAAAGCCACGGCUAACUACGUG
rnacentral:rRNA from 1 species